rnacentral:tRNA from 1 species
GUCUGGGUAGCUCAGUUGGCUAAAGCAUGGUGCCAAUAACGCCAAGGUUGCAGGUUCAAUCUCCCUAUGGGACA